rnacentral:rRNA from 1 species
GACAGAGGUGCCAAGCGUUAGGCGGAAUCACUGGGCUUAAAGCGUGUGUAGGCGGACUUGUAAGUACCUUGUGAAAUCCCACGGCUCAACCGUGGAACUGCUCGGUAUACUGCUUGUCUUGAGCCACUUAGGGGCUGUCGGAACAAACGGUGGAGCGGUGAAAUGCGUAGAUAUCAGGAGGAUCACCGAUGGCGAAGGCAGGUCUCUGGGCAUUAACUGACGCUGAGGAGCGAAAGCAUGGGGAGCGAACAGG